UAGAGUAGUUUACCUGAAUUUGUAGAGUCUCAGUUAUUUACUCCAUGCCUUUGAUUUUAUCAAAAGGAUUUCUGUAAAAAGAAAUGAGGAUCUCACUAUUCAGGUAGGCAACUUUUGGAAUCAGACUAAUCCAUUCUUAACUAUUUUAGGGUUUCGGAGUAUAAUUAUAUCUCUCAAAGAGCUUGUGAAGAGCGCAAGAGAUGUUGCAACUAUAGACCUAUAAUUGAGCAUGAUGGACUCCCAAAGAAGCAGUCUCAUAAUGAGCAGGAUGCAAACAAGACGAAAACAAGGGAGGAAUUGUUGGCUGAAGAAAGGGAUUAUAAACGUCGAAGAAUGUCAUACCGUGGAAAGAAGGCAAAGCGAUCAACUUUACAGGUUACAAGAGAUAUAUUGAGGAAUACGUGGAGGAGAUUAUGAAAGCUGGAGGAAUUGGACGCUUUUGUGAAGGGACCUGAAGAGAGAGGAAUAAAAUCUGAACAACCAAGUGAUCAUAACCUUACAAGAAAUAUUAUUGCUGACGUGCACACAAGAGGAAGCAACGGCUCAUAUGGAGAUGCCAGACAUAGCUCAGGUCACUCCAAGAAGCAGUCUAAUUAUGAUAGUAGAUACUUGGCUUCUGAGAAGCCACAAAAAAGUCAUUAUGGGUACUAUGGCUCUCCGGAAGAUUAAAGGAAAAUUUCCAGUAAGUACAAAUAUGAUCGAGAUCACGAUCAUAGGUUCUUAGAUCAAAGCAGUUAGCCUAGCCAGUCACACAUAUGGAAGAGAUAUCCUAAUGAUCGAGAUGAUGAGGUGACAGCAGAAACCAGGCAUCAUGAAACUAAAAAGCUGGCUUCUAGCAGCUCCCAUGGAAGAUCAUCUUCAUCCUCAAGAUCUGGGGGUGGUUCAAGUGCAAGGAAAGAUAGCCAUAAAUUGAGAGCCAGUGAUAGCCAGUCACACGGGUGAUAAUCACAGUUCAGAGCAUUUGGUGUUUAAUUCAUUUAAUGAUAGGUAUACCCCAUCUGAUUGUCGUGGCGAAUUGGAAGAUGAGUACUUCACUGUCAGCAGAUUAUCCAAGUCCAGAUGAACUUUAAUUUUAUGAUCAUUGAACGAUGAGAAGGUGUGCUGCAUGCCGUGCCAUACUUUUUAACCUAACAAAUUUCUACCUUGUGAAUGAAGUUUUAUCUGGCUUCAGAAAUUUUAUCCUCACCUGUAUCCUCCAUAUUAUCCUUGAAGUUUAUAUCCAUUUUCUUAUACAUUGAAUCUUGUCUCAAUCUCUAUUCUUUCAUAUAUGUUUCUGAGAGAUUUGCUACUAACUUAAUGUUGCACUUGCAUUUAUUUGAUUUACAUCAUCAUCGUACAAAAGAUGCGAAUUUUAGAUCCACUUUUUCUGUUCUGGGGUUGUCUUAUAAUUCUAGAUUAAUUACAAAGACAGAUUAAUGAAGUCGUCAGAAAAAUGAUUCACAAAUAACAUUUUAUGGAGGGUGCAACAAACUGUUAGUUAUGGUUAUGAAAUUACCAUGUUAUACGGUUGUUUCUUUCUGUACUCCUUGUUUGCUUUGGUUUGCACAUUUUGGUGUUGCAUCAGUUGAUCUUUACCUCUUCUUUUCGAUUGCAAUUGGAGUUGGCCAUUCAAAAUCUUAUGCGGAAAAUUAAAAAAAUGAUAUACUAAAAAAAAAGAUCGUAGAGUUUAGGCAUUAUAAACUGGUUAGUGAGGCAAUAUCAUUGAAUAAGCCAAACUUGUUUCCGGUCUCUUCCUAGUGAGAUGAAAAGUAGUAUAAGCUUUGGAGGGCUUAUUGAUGCAUAAUGAUUUCACUUCAAAAACUUACUCAUGUUCGUUAUGGAGUGGUAUGAAAGAUUAAUCUAGCAACUUAACAAACAUUUUAGGCAAUUACACUCAGUACUAGAACUCAACCUUAUUACUGAUAUUCUAUUAGUUCUAACUUUUGUAUUGCAUUUAGUGUUUUGACGAACAGCCCAGUUUAUCAGUAAGGUAUUGAAGGCAGUCUGGUGAUGAAUUUGAUCAGAGAUCUACAACCCACAGCGUUUCAGAUCGUCUGUUGCAGGAUAACGAAUAAAAAAUGAACUAGUGAAUCGUAGUGCCUGAACUACAUGCAACCCUAGAGCCACGCGAUGAGAACUCAUUGGAUGGUUAAACAUCUCCAGGAGAGGAACCACGUCAUCACGCGAGGAAUGCACAUUAGAAGACAAGAAUGAUAGUUGGAGUGACGUGACUUCAUAGGAUUGGUGUCAGCAUUAACAAUCUCAAAAGAAUAGAAGUUUAUCGUCGAAAAGCUGCCUAUAAAAGCACUCCAUUCCCAAACAAAAAGAAAGAGGCUUGAAUGGACCAAAAAGUGCCUGAAUGGGCCACAAGAGGUCUAAAUAGAUGAUAAAGAGAGCAUGUAGCUAGAGUGGAGAAUAAGGCUAUUCCCUUCCAUCCCAUAACUUGUAACACUCUUUCAUUGUCUUGUCUUCCAAUUUUGUAUUCUUUGUAGUUUGUAUUGUAUAUAGUGUGCAUUGACCUAUGACCUACAUUAUUCUUUGUAGUUUGUAUUGUAUAUAGUAUGCAUUGGCCUACGACCUAUAUUAUUUGUAUUUGUGACGCGUAUACAACUUUUCAAUUCAA